rnacentral:rRNA from 1 species
AAUGGGUCAGCGACUUAUAUUCUGUAGCAAGGUUAACCGAAUAGGGGAGCCGAAGGGAAACCGAGUCUUAACUGGGCGUUAAGUUGCAGGGUAUAGACCCGAAACCCGGUGAUCUAGCCAUGGGCAGGUUGAAGGUUGGGUAACACUAACUGGAGGACCGAACCGACUAAUGUUGAAAAAUUAGCGGAUGACUUGUGGCUGGGGGUGAAAGGCCAAUCAAACCGGGAGAUAGCUGGUUCUCCCCGAAAGCUAUUUAGGUAGCGCCUCGUGAAUUCAUCUCCGGGGGUAGAGCACUGUUUCGGCAAGGGGGUCAUCCCGACUUACCAACCCGAUGCAAACUGCGAAUACCGGAGAAUGUUAUCACGGGAGACACACGGCGGGUGCUAACGUCCGUCGUGAAGAGGGAAACAACCCAGACCGCCAGCUAAGGUCCCAAAGUCAUGGUUAAGUGGGAAACGAUGUGGGAAGGCCCAGACAGCCAGGAUGUUGGCUUAGAAGCAGCCAUCAUUUAAAGAAAGCGUAAUAGCUCACUGGUCGAGUCGGCCUGCGCGGAAGAUGUAACGGGGCUAAACCAUGCACCGAAGCUGCGGCAGCGACGCUUAUGCGUUGUUGGGUAGGGGAGCGUUCUGUAAGCCUGCGAAGGUGUACUGUGAGGUAUGCUGGAGGUAUCAGAAGUGCGAAUGCUGACAUAAGUAACGAUAAAGCGGGUGAAAAGCCCGCUCGCCGGAAGACCAAGGGUUCCUGUCCAACGUUAAUCGGGGCAGGGUGAGUCGACCCCUAAGGCGAGGCCGAAAGGCGUAGUCGAUGGGAAACAGGUUAAUAUUCCUGUACUUGGUGUUACUGCGAAGGGGGGACGGAGAAGGCUAUGUUGGCCGGGCGACGGUUGUCCCGGUUUAAGCGUGUAGGCUGGUUUUCCAGGCAAAUCCGGAAAAUCAAGGCUGAGGCGUGAUGACGAGGCACUACGGUGCUGAAGCAACAAAUGCCCUGCUUCCAGGAAAAGCCUCUAAGCAUCAGGUAACAUCAAAUCGUACCCCAAACCGACACAGGUGGUCAGGUAGAGAAUACCAAGGCGCUUGAGAGAACUCGGGUGAAGGAACUAGGCAAAAUGGUGCCGUAACU